rnacentral:rRNA from 1 species
UAAAGAAUCUUCCGCAAUGGACGAAAGUCUGACGGAGCGACGCCGCGUGCAGGAUGAAGGCCUUCGGGUUGUAAACUGCUUUUCUGAAAGAAUAAUUCUGAAUGUACUUCAGGAAUAAGUACCGGCAAAUCUCGUGCCAGCAGCCGCGGUAAUACGAGAGGUACAAACGUUACCCGGAAUCAUUGGGCGUAAAGCGUCCGCAGGUGGUUUGAUAAGUUGGAUAUUAAAUCUUGAGGCUCAACUUCAAGGC